AUGGCAAACUUGUCUUCGUAAGUGCGGCUGAAGAUUGUUGAUCUGUGUCCUUUAGAUCACUCAUCUGUCGACUCUGGAGGAGAAAUUCUCUCGUCUGUGGACUCAGUGUCAGCGCUGUCAAGGUUCACUGCAUGAAGAAGUGCUGUGUACCAGUCGAGACUGCCCCAUCUUUUACAUGAGGAAGAAAGUGCAGAAAGAUUUAGACGACCAGGAGAAGCUCGUCUCCCGUUUUGGUUGGUGAUGGACGAGGAUCUUUUCUUUUGUCUUCAGCUUUACCUCUAUCUUACCUCAGUGAAAGAGUCCGUCUCAUUCCGUUUUGUAAAGAAUCAUCAUUUUCUAGUCGCUGAAUAAAUACUGCAUUUUUUGUAAAA